rnacentral:rRNA from 1 species
UACGUAGGGUGCGAGCGUUGUCCGGAAUUAUUGGGCGUAAAGGGCUCGUAGGCGGUCUGUCACGUCGGGAGUGAAAACACGGGGCUUAACCCCGUGCCUGCUUCCGAUACGGGCAGACUAGAGGUAUGCAGGGGAGAACGGAAUUCCUGGUGUAGCGGUGAAAUGCGCAGAUAUCAGGAGGAACACCGGUGGCGAAGGCGGUUCUCUGGGCAUUACCUGGCGCUGAGGAGCGAAAGUGUGGGGAGCGAACAGG